rnacentral:lncRNA from 1 species
GGCAUUGCAUGUAAAACUUUCAAGGUAGAUUUUUUUAUUAAUAAUAGUACAUAGGUAAAACUCUAGUUUUAUUAAUCUAUCGUGGCUCACUAUGAGCUCUUAUAUGAUAGUAGAUAGCAGCUUAGUAAAGAGUGAUCUAAAUGGAAAAGAUAAGACCCCUUCUUCCACGCCUUCCCUCUUUCUCCCUUUGCUGUUGCUGCUGAGGUUGAGCAUUUGCAAAGUAAGAUUGUUGUUGGUUCUUAAUUAAUCUCUCAACAUCUUCAACAGAACCAGGGAAUGUAAGCUGCUUCACUUCUUUAUCUAACUGUCUUAUCACAUUGUCUUCAGAACCUUUCAAUUUUCAAUAAUUUCCAAACAUAACAAUAUGAGUUAGUAACGCCAAAACCAAAGUCAUAAAGCAAAUAUUAUAAUUUACAAUUAGGUAUUUGUGCCAAAAGUUUAAUUUGUUGCCACAUUGGCUUCGUCCAAAGAUAUAGUUGGUGAUUUGGCGAUCAAUUUUAUAACUGUGUAUCUACCUUUUAAAUAGCAUGUUUAGAUUAAAUUAAAAUAUAUUUAAUUAUAAACUUUGAAGUUGAAUAAUGUUUAUGGUACCUGCAAGGAAAUUCCUCUGGUUUUCAUCAGCAUUGAUGCCAAAUCCAAGCAAGCGAAGAUUUGAGGAAGCGUUGAUGGAAAUUGGAUGACCUGCUGGAAUUACGAAAAUGUCACCUUCUGAUAAUUUAGCAUUGUACCUUCUCACUUCUUCCUGUUCUUGCUCAUCUUGUUGUCGUUCUUGAUCUCUUAUACCCACCAGUUCAUAAUUUCCUUCUCCUUCAUCAACCACGACUACAAAUAUGGCCUUUGAGUUAUAGUGUGGUAACAACAAACCUCCCUAACAUAAAAAAAUCAAAUCAUUAGUAAUAGUAUUGUUGUCUAAGACACAACACCAGUGAAUAAGUUCAAGGAAUUGUGUGUAUUGUUAUUUGGGGUUGGAUGUAAAUAAUGUACCUCGUUAAUUUCUAUGAAGGUGAGAGAGAUAUCCAAAUCCUGAGCUUGAGGGUUUCUGUCUGGGGUGAUCUCGUAGAAGUUGCCAAACUUGUUUGAAUAAAUGGGUUCAUCGCUUCUCAAGUUGAAGGGGCCAGAUUCAGAUGGUUUGCCUUUUCCUGAUGAUGAUUGAGCAUGUUUUCUCAAUUCUUGGAUCUGUUCCUUUGACACUCUCACUAUCACCCCCUCAUCUUGGUGGCUCUGCUCUUGUCCACGACUUUGCUCCUCAUCUUCCUGCCCGUCCUCAUUUCCUAAAAUAAUCCUUUGUAUCUCUUCAUAACGGGUCUAUAUUUGAAAUCCAAACAAACAAAUAUGUGAUCAUUAGUACAUAUACUCAAUAAAUAAUUGUGCAACCAACGCAGAUCAGAUGUCAUACAUUGAAGGUGGCCUCUAAAGUGUUCCUACUGAAGCCGUUGAAGUAAGACUGUUGGUCUUUAGUACUUGAUGGAUAGAAAUCCUAUAAAUAUACAAAUAUAGAGAGAAAGGAGGAAGAAAUUAAAAUUACAUGGUGUUAAAUAUGCAAUGGGUGCAUAGAAAAUUAGAUGAUAUAAACAUAAAAGAUAAUAUGAUUGGAGAAAGAACAUUACAUAGAAGUUGCCAGGGUUGUUGAUGGGUAUUGCGAGCUUGACUACUCUAAGGUUCUGGUUGUCAUCCGGGUUAAGGAUAUAAGAAGUUGUUCCAGCUGGGAGUCUGAGAGCAUCUCCAUGCUCAAGGUUAUAUGCUUGUCUUUUAUCAGGGUUGACUAUCGUGAUUGUCGCNNNNNNNNNNNNNNNNNNNNNNNNNNNNNNNNNNNNNNNNNNNNNNNNNNNNNNNNNNNNNNNNNNNNNNNNNNNNNNNNNNNNNNNNNNNNNNNNNNNNUAUAUAAUUAAAAAUAAAUUGUUGCAUAAAUAACGUACAAUACUAGUGUACGAAUAAUGAUAUUUGUUGAGCUGUUAAGGUUAUACCAAUACCUUACAUAUAAGAUUCAGUUAUAUAUGAUUGUCAAUCACGUGGUUACUAGGUGUGAAUUAAAGAUCCGAUUAAACAAGAUUUGGUCAUAUAUGAUCAUUGAUUACUAGAAUUUCUAACUUAACUGUGUGAAAGAACGAUAUUGGAAGAACUAUUUCUAAAUAUUUGUAUGAUACAAAUUAGAUAAAAUAGCAAAUAAUCUAUAUAAUGAAUGAUACACAUACUUCAGUGGGACAAAGGGGGGAGUAAACUUUACACUAACAACUCAAGGGUACAGAGAAUUUUAAUUUAGUGAUCAAGUAUUAAAUUAUAGCUGUGAUGAUAAGUUAUAUAUACUAAUUUUUUUAUAUAUUUACUUCCAACUUAUUGAAACUUGAGAAGUAUGCUUACAUUUAGAGAUGUAUAGUUAUUAGUCAUAAGUGUCAUCAAAUCGGUCAGAGUAAUAGUAUAGUGGUAUAGUGGUUCAACCGAUGGUUCAUUAAUUAAUUUUAUGUCGGUUAAAUCCGACAUACAUGCUUAUCUAUACAAUCUUUAAUAAAAAAAUUAACUAGGUAAAUACUCAAAUUUAAAAUUCAUGUUCUUAGUCUACUAAGAAUACCCAUAGAUAAACAAUUUUAACAAACAAAGUCUGGCCCAUCUUCCAUUGAUGCAAAUCAACUAAUUGAACAAAUAAAAGAACUAAGUAAGGAAGACGCACUUUACAAUAACAAUUAAAAAUCCUAACAUGUAAGGUAAGAAGAAAGAGAGAGAUGAUUUAAGGCGGGAGAUGAUAUAAACACACACCUUAAUGGGCAAUGACUUCAACUCUACAAAGAAUUGGAUGGAACGAAGAUGAUAGGUCGGUGGAAGGGACUGGACAAAGAUGAUACCUCGGGGAAGCCUGGAACUAUAAAAGAAAUGAAGAAGGGUUGAAGAAGUGUGAACAGUGGAAGGAGAAAAAUCGAAUAAGGGUAGAAGAAUUGUGAACCGUGUAGCCUAGAACUUUUUUGAAAACCCUACUUCCCUAAAACGACGCCAUUUAUGGUUAUUUUUUAAGAAUAAAAUACAUGUAUAAACCGGCUAAUUUAGUCAAAUUUCGCCUGGUUCACCAGUUUUGAUCAAAUUCGGUCGGUUUUCACUGGUUUUGGUACUUGGUUAGUAUAACAACCAUACUGUAUCGGUUAGGGGUUCGGUUCACCGGUUCUUCGAUUGACAUGGACGGUACGGUUUUUACGUUAUGGUUUGUUAAUGAGAUGGGGAAUAAGUAUUUUAACAAUCAAAAAUCAAAAUUAUAAAAGGUAAAUAAUUAAGUUUAUUUCCUAAUAUUUGGUGUAUCUUUCAAUAAUUAUAUUAAAUUCGUUUUCGUACUAACUUAAGUGAAGAAAAAAAUUAAGUAAGAGAAAACUUGUAAUUGUUUAUAAAUGUUAGGGUUGCAAUUUGUUCACCAAGUAAUAAUCAUUAAAGAUAUAAUGUUGUAUUUGUGGCUGAUGGUUGUUAAAGUCUAGGUUAUUUUAUAGAAACUUUUUAUUGCCUAAACGUUGGGGUGUAAUCAUUUUGAGACUGAAAUAGACAAAUGGAAUGUCAUAUUACUAUAUGAGAUGCUCAAGUUUUAAUUUCCAUGUUUUUUUUUUAAAUUAUCAUAUGAAAGAUUAUAAAAAAUAUUGAUAUAUUUUUGUACGUUUUAUAUUGACAAUGCUUUUUUAUUUGGGUUAUUCUAGAUAGAAGGUGUUGGUCUAAUAUUGUAAAGCCUCAUUAGAUCCUCAAGAUGACUAAAACGUCAAUGAUUCGAUUUAUGUAAGCGAAAUUUGUUGGCAGGGGCAGUCAUACACACCAAAAGAGAUUAGUUUCUUACCCAAGGGUGAAGGGAUACCGUUUUUAGUACCCAAAAAAAUAAAAUUUGUCUUGUGGACAUCUUACUCUUAUUUAUAAAUGUAUAAUAUAUAAUUACAUUUUUACUUCUUCCAUAUCAUAAAUAUUUCAUAAAACAAUUCAUAUCAACAUAAUUAUUUCUUAAAUUCUUUUGCUUAAUAUUUUUUACCAUUGUGAUCUAGUGUUAAUCUUUUAUAAUUUUUCAAAUUUAUUUAAUAAAUGCAUAGACACAUUUUCUUAAUAUAUAUGAUAGUGAAUUAAAAAAUCAAAUAAAAUUAAAUAAAACCUUUAGAUGAUAAUAUGAGAUAUUAACUAUGAUACUUCUACACAAGAAACUGAAAAAAGCUCAAGGGCUUAUGAUCUGAGUUAUUGUCUUGGAUUCAUUUUGAGAAUUAAAAUAAUUUAGUUGAGAAGUGUGUGAAACUCUUAUUUUUUAAGUGAGAAGUAAAUGCAAUAUCAAUGAAGGAGUGCAAUAAAAUAAAAGAGAAGAAGAUAAAAUACUUUAUUAAUAGGGUUCUGAUCAAUUUUGUAUACGUACCUAGAAGCGUACAGUAGUUAUCAAUAUAUAUUUUUAGAGAAUAAGAAUUACAAGUUCUAACAAAUUCAUGGGCAUAAAAAACUCAUAUGGUGUUUCUAAUUUGUGCAAGUUAUAAUAAGUAUCUUGAGCCUAAUAUUUAACAUUGUUUCUCUUAUUCUUCCAAUACUAGGCAAUGUUUUACUUAUUACAAUAAUAUAUUUCAAGCAUCUCCAACAAUAUCAACCUUGAUUGAAAUAGACUAAUAAUUCAGUCUUUAGGAAAUUUAUACAGCAAUCUUCACCUUAGUGAAUAUUUUAUUCCUUAAUAAAUAUACGCAACAAUCACCACCUUAGUGAAUAUCCAACUCCAUAUUACGCAAUGACUAACUCUUUUUAUGAGCUCCUCCAUUGGACUUCUUCCACAUGUGAGAAUGCUCAUCUUCAACAUAAGUCGAGUAUCCUUUAUGAUAUUACCAAGAUUUAAGUUGUCCCAACUCAAAUUUUGAUGGAGAACCAAUUUCACGACUUCGGAGUAUGGGGAAAUAGAUUCCUUUUCUACAAAAUGAUUUGGAGUUGUCACUACAUUUUUUUUAUCAGAAUAUAAAUUUUUUCUUUAUACCCAAAUAGAAAACAAAUAUGAUUAUUGAACUAAAGUUCAAAGCUUGGGAGUCAAUUACAGGUCGGGAAAGGUAUUCACACCACAUCUGAUCGUAUUAAAACAAUAGCCAUGCUAACUAGAUGGAUCCUUAUGCCCCCGGUUUAUUUUUUAAAAUAUUAAUUACUAAAGAAAAGUAGUAUUUUUUUUACCUAAGAAGAGCUUAUUUGCUUUAAUGCAUCCUCAUGUUGUAAUAUGAAAAUCAAGACAACAUUGUUCAUGGCUGAAAAUUGAUCAAUGGAUUUGUAUAAAUUUUAUUAAAGAAUUAAUAUAAAAUUAAAGGAGGUCAAUAGCAUAAGAGAUUGUAUUAGUUGUAAACCAACAUCUCAAUUUGAGAGGUAACAUAGAUAGUAUUGAUAACCGCAAUUGUUUCUCUACAUAUAUAAGAAAUUAAGAUACCACAUGAAUAUCAAACUCAUUAUUAGAUUCCAAAAACGGUUUAUCGAUUUUCAUAUAAAAAACUCACAACCACACAAAUUUCUUAUCAUAACAAUGGUGAUUUUAAGUUGUUUUACUAUAUACUAUAUAUUUCCAUUAACAAUAUACAAAUCCUCAUUCCAUUUUCCAUUAUAUAAUUAACAUAACUAAGUUAAUUAACAUGGUCAAGUUCCUUAUGCAUACUCAAGUCAUUGCAGCUUUCUUCGCUGUCAUUCUACUUCUAGCACAUAUUGAGAUGUGUCCUAUAUUAAGUAUUAACAUAGAAGCAUAAAUCAAACCCAAAACCAUGAAUAGUUGGUUAUCUCAGAAUAAUUGUUUAACAUCAGCAUCAAGGUAUGACACACCGACAUGGUGGUUGUCUUUUAAAUAGGAAAAGUCUCUUGUCUCCGUCUAACAUCAGCAUCAAGCAUGCUACCAAAUUCCAAUAUAGGGAUUUAUAUUUUGAAGAAUAAUUAUUAUCAUUGAUAUAUUAUACCUUAUUUUUUAUUAUAUUUUUUAAUGUCUAGGUAAAAUGACCGAAGUGGUUGAGAACCUGGAUACUAUCAUUCAUGAAGUAGUAAUCACUGAUGAUGAGGACUAUGUGGAGGAAAUAGAUGAGAGUGAAAGUGAGAGUGAGGAAGUGAAUGAAAGUGAAGGUUUGGAUAGUGGAAAUGACAACGAUGGAUUUAAUAACUAUGAUGAAAAACUAGAUUUUUGUGUGGGGGUUCAUUCAGAUGAUGAUUUAGUUGAAAUUUAUGUUGAGAGAAAGGUGGUUGGAGAACAAUUUAAACUCCAAUCUGAUGGUAAGGUGAAACUUCAAACCAAUAUGUUACUAUUGUUAGAGAAACUUCAAACCAAUAUGUUCAUAAACGACUUACCGGCUUGAGCUACUAUUGUUAGAGAAACAAAUCCUGGGAGUAAAGUGACGAUGGAGUUUGCAAGGGUCACAAUUGAUAGGAACCCACAAUUUAAACGAUUAUUUGUAUGUCUUGGUGCAAGGAAAAAAAGAUUUGUUAGAGGUUGUAAGCCUUGGUUUAGAAUUGAUGGAUGCCAUUUAAAAGGUCCUUAUGAAGGAAUUUUACUUGCUGCAGUUGCCCUUGAUGGAAAUAAGGGUAUAUUUCUUAUUGCAAUUGUUGUGGUAGAGGUGGAGUGUAAGGAUUCAUGGAGGUUUUUUCUCACCUUAUUAACUGAAACUUUGCACACUCUACCAAAAUGGAAGGAGAAUAAACUAACCAUUAUGUCAUAUACACAAAAGGUUAGUGUGUUUAAAUUAUAUAUCUCCCUAUAGUGAAUAGAUAAUGUCUCUCUAAUUAUUGCUCUUCAACUUAAUUGUUGUAUAAAAAGAACAUGUUGUGAGAAAUGAAGUAAUUCAGGAUAGGAUGUUAUAUGUUUUUUUUUUUAUAUUUUGGUUUAAGUUAGAGAUAUUAAAUGAUUCUUUAUUUGAAUUUCAGGGCUUAAAAGAUACAGUUAGUGAGAUAUUUUCAAAUGCACAACAUAGGUAAAUGAUUAAUUAUAAUCUUAUAUUGUUAAUAUUUUAAAAUACUUUAUUAAUCACUACUUGUUUUUGUUAAUAGGUUUUGUUGCAACCACUUGUUGAAUAACUUCAAGCUUCGAUUCAGGUCUUUAAUACUAACAACAGAGUUUUGGGCGGUUGCAAUGGCUUAUAAUGAAACCAUGUUUAAUAAAGCCAUUGCUACUAUGAGAAGAAUAAAAAAUGAUGUUCUAGAAUGGUUGCUAGAUGUUGAUAGGCAAGGCAUACAAUUGAUCCAAUCUGUAAAAGUGAUCAUGUGACCAACAAUGUGUGUGAAGUGUUUAAUGCAUGGAUUGUAGAUGAUAGAAAGAAGACUAUGUUGUCUAUGAUGGAGUCUAUUGUGUGUAGAUUAAUGGGAACAUUUGAAAGAAGGUUUGCAAAGGGUUGUGGUUUUGAGCACAACAUAACUCCUAAUAUUCGGAAGGUUUUAAACACUAACAUGCAAGAUGGGAGGUUCUGUACAAUGACUUAGUUUACUUAGUUUGCCAUGUUUUACUUCUAUGUAUCUACUUAGUGUUUACCAUGGAGUGCUGGUUAUAUAGUUAUGGAACAUUUAAUUUCUAUAUGUGUAUGUUAAUUUUACAUGCUUAGUUAGUGUAUAUAAUGAUGCGGUAAUUAUUAAUAUAUUUUUUAUUGUUCGUUUUUAUUUUAUUAUUUCAAGCAAAUGAUGAUGCAAGUAUAUGUGAUAUACCUUUCAGUGCAAGAGAAUUAUACGGUGCCAACAAAAUUUAGGAUAUUUUUUAUGUAUUUUGUUUUUAAAAUUUCAUAUGAGACUACUUUUAGUUUUUUUCUCCAGAUUUUAUGGUGUAUUUGGAUUUAUAAUGAAACAUGAACCGUAACUCUUUCAACUUUGUUAUGUUUUUUUAGUUAUUUGCAAUGAAAUUUUAUUAUUGCUAACAAAAUUUGGAUUUAGUAUUGUAAGUUUAAAUAAUUAUUAUAGAUUAAUGAGAUUAAAGUUAUAAAAAUUAUGAAAUGAAAUUGAGGUUAAAAUCCUCUAGAAACAUAUAAUAGUUACCUUCCUGCAGGUUUCCAUAUAUAAUUUCGAGUAGUGAAGAUUGAAAAUCUCCACAAUUAAACGAUCUUAAAUAGUGAAGGUUUAAAGCCUUCAUGCUAAAUAAUACAAAAAUCUCCUCAAAUAGUGGAGGUUAAAAAACUCCUCAAAUAGUGGAUGUUAAACUAAUGAAUGAUGAUUCAUUCCUAAAUAAAUACAUUUAAUACAAAUAUUGAUAAUAAAUGAAUAAAUAUAUUGAAAGAAUAAACUAAUAAAUACGAUGUUACUAUUAAAGACAUAUUACUAAUAUGUUAUUAUCUAGAAAACUAAUUAAUAUAUAUUACACAUAAUUUUCAUUAAUUUCUUAAAUAUAGGUAAUGGAUAGAAUAUAAAAAUAGUCAUAAUAAAUACUAAAUAGAUUUUGAUGAAAAAGAAAGGUUUGAGUUAGGUUUAUUUUAUAAAAUAAAUUAUGAAAAAAAUUUUUUUAGGAGGUUGAAUAAGUUAAAUGAUAGAAAGGUUUUUUAAUUAAAAAAAAUAAAUAAGAUACUACAUUGGUUGUUAAUUGAUGUUGCAUCCCAACUUUCAGUCAAUCAUCAGUUAUAUGACAGGUUUGGAUCCACCACUAUAUUUUUGCGGUCAAAAUAAAGAAAACAUUCUUUAAACCCACCUUUAAGGAAUAUGUUGUCUCACAUGAUAGGAUUUUGCUCCUACGUCUCCCUCUCGGCAAUAGAGAAUCAAGACUACCUAGUUCUUUAGUAGAAAAUAGUUUGUUGGUUGAGUUUAUAUUAUUUCUGAAUAGGAGAAGAUGUUUUAAUUUUAAUAUGGUGUCCAUAAUUAAAUGAGUAAAUUACAACCAUAAUGUAUGAUAUCGCAUUUCAUAUUAAGGAGGUAAAGCUUAACCAAAAUCAAUAUUUUUUAAUGUUUAAAGGUUUUUUAGAAAGGUGAUACACAAAGGAAGAGAUUAGCUGCAAAAAUAAUUAAUCGAUCCCAUUAGGAUUCUCUAGUGUUUCUCUCUAGAACUUUUAUGUUACUCUCUGUUUUCUGGAAUAUUUUGAUGUGUUUUCCGGUUUUUUCACUUUGUCAAGAAUGCAAUACCUCUAUUUAUUGGAUGGACUUCACAUAUGCAUAAAAUAAAAGUGAAUCACUUUCAUUAAUGCAUCGAAUCAAUUAAAACAUUUUAUUGGGUGUAAGAUUGUUUCUGAGAUAUCUAGAAAUAUCUCUUAAUAACUUUAUAAAGUCAUAGAAUAUUAUGGUGACACUCAUAUUAAUUCGGCUUUAAAAUUAAAAGUGUCCCAAAUGCUCUAUUUUGGGUAGAAAUUUCAUAACAAGUUCAAAAGGAAAUCACAAAUGUUCUUUUAUAAAAUGGGAUCUCUCCAUUAAUAGGUUAAUAAAUUCAUUAAGUCACUUAAAACCCUUUUUGAUUUUAUUUUAAAAAUAAAAUUAAAAUUGGUGAGAGAAAUUAAUUUGAAAUAAUAUCCUUGUAAAAAAAAUUAAAAAUUGUAUCCAAUAAAUCUUGAAAUAGUAUCCCACCAUUAUUGAGUCAAAUAAGUGAUCUUUAAAUACCAUUGUUUAUUGUAAAGAAAAUCAAAAGUUGGGAGGGAAGUUGACUUAGAUGGUGUAUCUAGUCAAUUUAUUCACAUUAAGUCAUUUAAACCCGUUUUUUAUAUGAGUGUAAAAUAAAAAUUUAUCCUUUUUAUUUGUUGUUUACCAUAAUAGCGAGCAAAUUGAAGUUUGAAAGAUAUCAUGUCAGGUAACUAUUAAGGAAUUGAACACUGAUUUUGUCAAGGUUAAAAGAACUUACAUAUUCAAACUUUAGAUGCCUCGUAGUGAGGUUGAAACUAGUCAACGAUGCAGACUGAAAUACAGUAACCAUUAGUUUUAUGUAGUAGCUCGGGAAGCUUCUGGAAUGGAAAUCAUCAAUUUGUUGCGGCAGUUCUAGAAUCUGCUGAAAGGGAAACCAUCAAUUUUGUGACAUAGUCUGAGAAUCUUCUGAAAAAUGAAACAAUCGAUUUGGUGAAGGAGUUUGAGACUAUGCUGAAAGGGAAACCACCGAUUUGAUGAAGUAGUUUGAGAAUCUACUUAAAGGGAAACCAUCGAUUUGGUGAAGCAAUUAGAGAAUCUUCUAAAAGGGAAACCAUUGACUUGGUCAAGUACAUCGAGAAUCUGCUGAAAUGGAAACCAUCAGUUUGGUUAAGUAGUACGAGAAUCUGCUAAAAGGGAAACAAUCGAUUUCGUGAAGCAUUUUGAGAAUAUUCUGAAAGGGUAACCAUCUAUUUGGUGAAGUAGUUUGAGAAUCUGUUGAAAAUAAUGAACCAUCACUUUGGUGAAGCAUUUUGACAAUCUGUUGAAAUUAUAACCAUUGAUUUUGCGAAGCAGAUCGAUAAUCUACUAAAAGGGAAACCAUCGAUCUAGUGAAGCAUAUCAAGAAUAUGCUAAAAGGGAAACCAUUGAUUUUGUGAAGCAUGUCGAGAAUCUAGGAUAGAGAAACUAUCGAUUUGCUGAAAAAAUUGAGAAUAUGGUGAAAGGGAAACCAACAGUUUGAUGAAGUAGUUCGAGAAUCUACUGAAAAGGAAAUCGCUGAUUCGAAGAGUCAGAUCGGGAAUCUAUUGAAACAAGGCUUACGGGCGUCUCAACAUCAGAGUGUGAACAUGAUGAUAAACGUAGUUGAGAAAGGGAUGGCCCCACAUUGUCUAGGCCAAUUAUAUAUGUAGUUGGGAUGUGAAGAUGCAUGUAUUGAUGUUUGAUUAUUUGUGGAUAUGAAAUGACUUGAAUAUAAAUUUUCUUCUAUAUUUUGUAUGAGAUGAGUAUACAAUAAAGGGAAAGACUCAUACACAAAUAUUCUAAUGUAUCACUCUUGAUUUAUUUUUUCUUGGGAUGGAAAUCAUAAACCUUUGUGGAUUUGACUAAAGCAUCCAUUUAUGAUUAUUUUUUUUAGCAUGAUUGAAUGACAACUUGUCUUUCUUAAAAGUGCUUUAGUUUGCUUGAGGAGACAUUUCCAUUAAAGUAAUUCAUACAAUGUGCCCUAGUGCCGUCUUGAAUGACUAAACUCACAUAUAUUGCUCUAGCGUAGGUUGGCUGAGAGUUUCUUUCAAAUGUGUUUGAAUCAAAAAUUUAUCAUUGUGCCUAUUUUGAACUUUUGACUUCAACUUGGAUGCCAUUAUUCAGAUUCUCCAUAAAGAUGCCCCAAUUUGGGAAAUUAAGGAUAAGGGGUAGUAAGCCUUCACAUUGAGGUGCACAUUUAAUUUUCCUUAACUUUUAUCAAGAAUACCUAGUGUAUGUGCUUGUCGAGAAUUUUCUCAUUUAUUAUCAUCCUUAACCACCUUUUCAUUUUUUGACUUAUAAUCACUCUCCUUUUCCUAGAUUGCUCAUGUGGGUUUUCAACCUAGCACACAUUUUUUGUUUUUUUUCUUUGAUUUUUACUUUUUACUUUCUUUAACACCGUCGACUUGGUGGCCUCAUUUGAUAGUAAGUAGAAGUCUUGUGUUGGUCAUUGUUGGAGUUGUUCUUCACAAUCAUAACAUAGUAUCAUUCACUUCUUGGUUGAUAGAUUAUCCAUUUUCUAUUAUUGGCAUGACUUAUAAGGCCAUGGGAAGCAACUCCGUACUGCCUCAUUUUUUGGCUUCUUGUAACUUUUCACUAGAAAAAUGGGAACACCCCAAAAAAAUGGCCCAACAUGGAUACAAGGAUUUAUCCUUCUAUUCAAAUUGUCCUGAAAUGAAAAAUUUGGAAGGACUUAGACAAUGAAUCAUCUCAAAAUAUGCCCUAGUUUGAAAGGUUUCCAUGUUUCUUUUACUUUAGAAGUCUUUAUUGUAUGCACAACUCUUUAAGAAUAAAUAUUAAAACAAUGAUCAUGCAAACUUGACAAGUGUUUGGAUUAUGUGUGGUGAUACGAUAAUGAUUAUAAAAUUUAAUUUUUGUUUAAGCUUUUGUAUAUGUGUUGUUUAAUUUGUAUGUGGUUGCGAGUGUUGAUAUGUUUAUGAUGAAUAUAAAAUGGAACUUGUGUUUGGGUUUUGAAUUUUGUUGAUGGUGGUGAUGGUGAUGAUGAGAACCCUAUAAGUUAACGCAUAAGGAACGAUUAUGAUCUCCAAUGUACCAAAUCACAAAUAGUUUUCACCUCUCCCCAUCAGAGAGAAAAUGAAGCUCCCAAAAAAAAUAAUGAUUUGGUUGAGGAAGCGCAUCAUACCAAAACUCUCUGAAAAUGUAUAUCAAAAAAGUAGAUCAGAGAACAUGGAUUCAGGUAUAACUUUGUAUCAUAGUUCUAUAUUAUGUAUGAGAAUCAUGAGAUUCAAGGUCCUAGGAUUGGUAUUUCACCAAUCAUUAGGAAAUAUAUGACAACUAGUAUCAAAUCUUUAGGUUCUGAAUUUUAUGGUUCUCCAUUAAAGAUGUUUUUACCAAAUUUUUUUAUAAACCCUAAUUUUUUAAAUUUGGGGAUUUUUAUGCUUCUGCUCUUGGUUAUGGGAAUAGUGUAUUUAUGAAUAAUGACGAUAACUUUUAUCCGCUUCCGCUUAUUUGAACUAUGAGUUGUUUGUAUUAUGAAUCCUUACAACAUGUGUUGAAGUAUAUAUUUAGAUUUGUGCAUGAACAUUGCAUUAACUUUUAUGACUCUAUUAUGCAAUAUGUAUAUUAUAGGUGCACUAGUGCCUUACUGUUGGACAUUGACUUUUUCACUUUAUAAUUUUGCAAUUGGCUGACGUAUAUCUAUAAGGUAUAUAUGAGUUAAGUUGUGAUUAUCACUUAUACAUAUACGAUAUGGAAUUCAUUGUCUUGUAUAUAUAUUAUGAAUUAAAAUAUACAUAUAAAAAUUGUAAUUGUUUCCAACUUGAGGUUGUUGUGAUGUUUGAAAUUACUUAUAAAAGUUAAUAUAUAUAUAUAAAAUGGUUACAAUACUUAAAGUUAUAUAUACAUUUACUAUGUUAGUGUGUGAAAGUGUAUAUACAUUGUACAUAUAUGUUUUAAGAUAUGCAUGAUCAUAUUCAAUUUGGAAUUUUUUAUAAUGAUUUGCAUAUAUCUUUUUAUGCUUUUCACUCUAGAUCAAUUUUUUAUUUUAUUAAGAUUACAUCCAUUUUUAUAUGUUGAUAUAUAUGCCAUAUAUCUUUUUUGAUUUGGAAUUAUAUUAUUGGAUUAGAUUUGUUAAUCAUAAAAGAUAUUAAAUCUGAAGGUUUUAAUUCCAAGAUCAUAAUUUAUUUUAUAAUGGACCUAUAUUGUUUUCCUUUUCUGUGGUAAUUAUUUUUGAAAUAAUUGGUGCAAUUGUUGUCAAAGUAACCUUUAUCGUGGAAAUUGAUAAAUAAUACAUAGAUGAGUAUGAGAUUAUUUAUGAGAAUUGUGUUUUGUCAAGUAAUAACAUACAUGUGAUGAUAAAUAAGUAACAAUUAUAAAGUUUUUUUCUUGUGAAUAAUAGUCGAUCCAAAGAAAGACUAUUGUUUGACAAAACUAAUUGUUAAUAUUUGAUCAUUACGUUGAGAGUACCACUUACAAAUUAUUUUCUCUGUCCGAAGACUAGAAAUUGAUGUUGUGCUAGGUAUCUUGUGACGAGUCUAUUAUGUGAACAUGUCUUGUUUUAUAUGUAUUACCUGAUUUGUUUGUUUAAAUGGUUGCAACACUUACGGUUUUUUGUAUUAGUUGGUAGCUGAUUGCAUUAUUAAGAGGUUGCUAUUGUUGAAACACUAUUUCCAUUUGAACACUGUGUCGUACUAUGUUUAGUCAUGUAUAAAAUGGUAAUAUAUUUUUAAUGGAAAAUUAAAAAGAACCAUCACUGGAAUUUGAAAAGCAGAUCUUUGUGAUGGAAAUUAUGCAAUGCUACCAACAGGCUAUAGUGUAUAUAUUAUAUAUAUGUGGAUAUAAAUAAUUCAUAUUUUGGAUUAAGUGUUGAAUCAAACUUAGUUAAAUGGUUUUAAUGAAAUUGUUUGACAUUUUAAGUGAACCUAUUAAAUAAGAAGUCGCCAAAGUGACAUCUUUUCUAUGAAUUGUUCAUAAUAAAUGUCAAAUACUAGUGUGAAUAAGUAUCUAUGCGAGUAUUAAUUGGCUCAAAUGAAGAUUAUUAUUUGGUCGAAUUAUAUACAUACAUAUGAUGGUAAACAUGUGACUAUUUUAAGGUUGAAAAUGUGAAUGAUAAAUUAGUCUAAAGAAAGAUUGAUUAUUUGACAUGCAUUAUGAUUAAUGUUUAACCCUAACAAACAAAUAUCAUUAGUGAUUGAUAUUAAAUAUCAAGCCAAAUGAAUGUUUGCAUUUUAUGUGACUAGUGAUCAGCCCAAAGGAAUAUUAUUAUUUGGCCCAAAUUACAAACAUACUUGUAGUAAUAAUAUGUAAUAAUCAUAUGCCUUUCCAUGUGAAUAAUAAGUCGAUCCAAAGAAUAGCUUAUUGUUUGAUAUGACUGAUUAACAAUGUUCGAUUACUAUAUUGAGCGUACCACUUAUAAGUUAAUAUUUUUAUCCAAAGACUAAAUAUUAAUGUUGUGUUAGGUAACUCAUGAUGUGCCCCACCAUCAUUUGAAUUUAGGUUUUAAAGUUGAAUGUGAGUUUAAUUGCAAGAAUGGUUGCAAGAAUGACUACAAUUUGUUUUGUUCUUUUACUAGUGCUACAAAUAUUUUUGUUCAAAUCGAGAAUAUCUCAUUGUUGAAUGGGACACACAUUAAGGUCUAUAAGGAAGCCGUGGAAAUUAUUCUCGGCUAUAUGGAUUUAGAUCUGGUACUUCAAGUGGAGGAAUCCAUUUCAACUCUGUAAAUCCUCGAUGAGGUUAAAAUUGAGAAAUUGGGAUUCUCUUAUCGUAUGUGUCUAAUGAUCAUGAAACAAUAUAUUCUAGAAGUGUUUCAGAAUUCUAUUUUUGAGGGUCAAAGUGCAAGGAAGUUCCUUCAAGAAAUAGAACCAUACUUUUGCAAAAAUGAGAAGGCGGAGACUAGUAGCUUUUUUGGGUGAAAUCAUCUCCAUGAAGUAUAAAAGCAUAUGGAACAUAAGGAAGUACAUUAUGGAGAUGCCUAAUCUUGCAUCAAAACUCAAGUCACUUAAGUUAGAGCUGGGUGAUGACUUGCUCGUGCACUUGGUUUUGAUCUCGCUUCCUGCACACUUUGGGACAUUCAAAGUGAGCUAUAACUCUCAAAAGAACAAAUGGUCUCUCAAUGAGUUUAUAUAUCAUUGUGUCCAAGAGAAAGAGAGGUUCUAGAGAGAUAAGACUGAAAGUGCUCAUUUGGCUAUGACCACUCAGAAUAAGACAAGAACGAACAAUAUGGAUGUUGUGAAAGAGUUAUUUGUGUUUUUCGUAAGAGAUUGUGGAUUUGUUCCGCAAUACACUAUGCCAGACAAACCUAAAAUAAAAGGUGUUGUUGGCCGAUGAAAAGAAACUCUUAAGGAUAUGGUGAGAAUUAUGCUUAGUCAUUCUUCCACACUAGAGUCUCUUUGGAGGGGAAAAACCGUUAAUAAGACCAAGCUUAAAACAUUACACAUUUGGGGUUGUUCAGCUGAGGACGGCCUUAUAGGCCACAAGAAAGGAAACUCGACUCAAGAACAGUUAGAUGUUAUUUUGUUGGCAAUGUUGAGCGCUCUCGAGGCUAUAAAUUUUACGAUCCUACUUCAAGAUGUUUUUUUUUUUGGGACGGGAAAUGCAAGAUUUCUUGAGGAAGUUGAUUUUGGGAAGGAAGAGAACAUAAGGAAUGUUAUCUUUGAGGAAGAACAUGUCACUUGUAGUGAACAAGUUCUUGUGUCUAUUACCAUUCAAGGAACCACUUUGGUAAUAGAAGAUAAUGUUUAGGAUAUUGUUCCUGACAAUAUUCUAGAACAAGACAACAAUGAGGUUCUCUCUCAAGUACCUAAAGAAAAAAUUCAACAACCUCAAGAAGUAGGGGUGCCAUUAAGUAGAUCCACAAGAGAGAGAGGAUGUGCAAUUCCUGAUGAAUAUAUUGUAUUUCUUCAAGAACAUGGGGAUGACAUCGGGAUAACAUAAGAUGAUCGAUUGAAAAAUUGUCAAGACAUGAAAACUUCUAACUCUCAAAAGUGGAUCAAUGUCAUGAAGAAUGAGAUGAAGUCUAUGCAUGAUAAUAAUGUUUGGGAUAUUGUCGAAUUAACUGAUGUUGCGAAACCUAUUGAUAGGACAAAUUGCAAGUGGACGGUUAUAUCGUCAUGUAAUAAAAUAUCGAUCCCACGAGGACUAGAAAAUACUUUAAUUAUAACAAUUAAUUUAUAUGUAACUCAAAGAAGAAUUAUAAGUGAAUUUAGAACAAUUGAACAUUUGACAAGAAUAAUAAUGAAAAUAUUAAAAAGGAUUGAAAUCUAAUUUAGGAAGAGUUCCUAGGAUAAGGGUUUACCCCUUUACACUCACAAAUCCUUCUUUUUCUCCUUUUAAUGAACUUUAAGUUGUGAGGUUGAAUUGCUCUUUGAUAUGUGUCAUCCUCUCUCGAGCACCUACUCUCAUGGUAUGAUUAUCAAUUGAAUCAUUUACUUGGAUCUUUCUAUCCAAUCGCUUCGUAGCAAUCCAAGGUGAAUUCCAGAAAACCUUGAGAAUCGUAAGACUACUCUCCUGAAUUAGGAUUCUAGAUUGAAUAACUGAGUGAUCGGAUAGUUGGGUUCACCUCUCGGUCCUUCCCCAAUGUAUCUAAGAGAUGUAAUUUGUUGGCUAGACAACUCACACUAAUAAAACUCAGUUUAAUGAUUCAAAUCCAACACUCAAUGGAAAAGAAGUAAGAACAGUGUUUAUUGAAUGUAAAAGGGUGUGGAUCCAAUCCUAGAAACAAAGGGAAUUACUCACUCAUAAUGGAGAAGAGAAUACAAAGUUCUAAAUUAGAGAAUUGUAAUGUAAAGUAUAAAGUGUAAAGUGUGCUUAAUCCUUGAGGGAGAACCCUCAUUUAUCCUCAUUAAAAAAUAUUGGGCUCAACCCAACAAAACAAAUCUAAAAAAUAGGAAUAGAAUAUAACAUUCACGACUUCUUUUGGCCCUUCAAUUGGUCUUCGCAUAGCCUCAAUACUGAAUUUCAUCUUCUUGCACCCAAUCUCUACUCUUUUUGGCUUCAUUCCAUCCAAAUUGCACAACAUAGCCAAAAACACAUACUCAACCUGAACAAAGAGAAUUAAAAGCUAGAAACAAUCCUAUAGUGUUAAUUAUGUCCUAAAAUGCAAUUCAAAUAUAGCAUAAUUUCACACGCAUCAAAUCCUCUCAAGCUUAUCUCUUGCUUAUCCUCAAGCAAGUAUUAUGUCUAUCUUUUACAAUCACGCAUGAAUGAUGAUAUAGAAACCAUGACCCAAAAUAAUUAGCAAUCUCAUGUUAGUUUUGAAACAAUCUAGACAUUAAGACAAAACAAUCAUAAACAAAUUUAAUUCAACCUAAGUCUUUGAGUCAUAACAACUGCAUGAAUUGGGUCACUCUCCUCUCAUUACUCUCAUGUGUUUAAAGGUCAGUAUUUCGCUCAAAUUUUCAUGAAAGUAAAUUACCAUAGGCUUGAUUAUAGACCAAAUCGCACUAGAUGUAUUUGAAUGCAUGCAAAAAUUAAGAGGUCUUUAAAUGGUUGUAAUGAGGUCAAGGUGAAUGAUUUAUGGUGAGAUAAACAAAGAAAAGGUACUUCAAAAGGCUUACAAAUUAUGUUAAGAAUUUUGGAAUGGUGCAUAGAAAUGUAUUACACCAUACUUAAUUAGAAAGGAACUUCGUAUUUUUUAUGACUUCGCUACUGUGUAACUAUCCAUUUAUUCAGCAUCUCAAUCAUUUCUAAAAAGGGAUGAUAAUAAAUCAACCUUGAACAGAGUGUAGGAAAGGCUUUCUUACAAUGCUUCUAUUGUGAGAAAGGAACUUUGUGCUCUUAGUACUCGGUAAUCAUCCUGAUGUUUUGCAAUUUAAUUAUGAAAACAUUUUGUUAUUUAAUCAUCGUGAUAUUGAUAAAUCAUUUUUAACGGGUGUGAAGAAAAUGUUUUGUUAUGAUACUUUUAUUGUGACCAUAGACCAUCAACCAUUACUUAUUAUCACUAUUCACUUUCCUUGUGAUUAAACUUUCUCUUGAUUUGCAUAUACAGAUGGAAACGAGUCGAACUGACUUGAACUAGAACUCAGCUCGAUAAGGAUCUGCUCAAUUUGAAACUGAACUCAAGUGUGAUAAGGGUUAUUUUUUAGCUCGGGUUUAACUCGUUUAAGUUCACGAAUUGCUCAACUCAACUUGAAUUGGUUCAUUUAUAUAACUCAAUUAAUAAAUAUAUUUUUAAAAAAAAUAUUGCAUAAGGUUAUAUAUAUAUAUAUAUAUAUAUCUAUAAGUAAUUUGUUCACCAAGUGAGAAUCAUUAAAGAUAUAAUUUUGUUCAAUUUUAAGAUUUGUCUAUGAUGGAUGUGAAGCCUAGGUUAUUUGUUUAGAAGAAUUUUGAUUGCCUAAAUGUUGGGGUGUAAUCAUUUUGAGGCUGAAAUAGACAAAUGGAAAGUCAUUAUACUAUAUAAUAUGAGAUGGGCAAGUCUCAUUUUCCAUAUUUUUCAAAGUUAUCAUCGAAAAGAUUAUAAAUGUAUCGAUACUAUUGUACAUGCUUUUUUUUACUUGGACUAUUCUUGAAAAAUAGACACCAUCUCGUGUACUUCUUAUUCUUAUAUUUAAAUGUAUAAAAUAUAAUGAGAUUUUGAUUUCUUCCAUCACAUUUUUCAUAUAACAAUUCAUAUCAACAUAACUAUUUCUUAAAUUUUGUUGCAUAAAAGUAUUUCAAUUAAAAAAAUAAAAUAAAAUAAAAUAAAAUAAAAACUUUGGAUUAUAAUAUGGGAUAUUAACUAUGAUACUUCCAAAUAAGAAACUAAAAAAAGCUCAAGGGCUUAGGAUCUGAGUUGUUGUCUUUGAUUCAUUUGGAGAAUUAAAAUAAUUUAGUUAAGAAGUGUGUGAAACUCUUAUUCUUUUAAGUACGAAGUAAAUGCAAUAUCAAUGAAUGCAAUAGGUAUAAUAUAUAAUAUAUAAUUAUAUUAGUUAAAUUACAUAAGAACAUAUAGAUUGAUGAAGGGCAUUGCAUGUAAAACUUUCAAGGUAGAUUUUUUUAUUAAUAAUAGUACAUAGGUAAAACUCUAGUUUUAUUAAUAUAUCGUGGCUCACUAUGAGCUCUUACAUGAUAGUAGAUAGCAGCUUAGUAAAGAGUGAUCUAAAUGGAAAAGAUAAGACCCCUUCUUCCACGCCUUCCCUCCUUCUCCCUUUGCUGUUGCUGCUGAGGUUGAGCAUUUGCAAAGUAAGAUUGUUGUUGGUUCUUAAUUAAUCUCUCAACAUCUUCAACAGAACCAGGGAAUGUAAGCUGCUUCACUUCUUUAUCUAACUGUCUUAUCACAUUGUCUUCAGAACCUUUCAAUUUUCAAUAAUUUCCAAACAUAACAAUAUGAGUUAGUAACGCCAAAACCAAAGUCAUAAAGCAAAUAUUAUAAUUUACAAUUAGGUAUUUGUGCCAAAAGUUUAAUUUGUUGCCACAUUGGCUUCGUCCAAAGAUAUAGUUGGUGAUUUGGCGAUCAAUUUUAUAACUGUGUAUCUACCUUUUAAAUAGCAUGUUUAGAUUAAAUUAAAAUAUAUUUAAUUAUAAACUUUGAAGUUGAAUAAUGUUUAUGGUACCUGCAAGGAAAUUCCUCUGGUUUUCAUCAGCAUUGAUGCCAAAUCCAAGCAAGCGAAGAUUUGAGGAAGCGUUGAUGGAAAUUGGAUGACCUGCUGGAAUUACGAAAAUGUCACCUUCUGAUAAUUUAGCAUUGUACCUUCUCACUUCUUCCUGUUCUUGCUCAUCUUGUUGUCGUUCUUGAUCUCUUAUACCCACCAGUUCAUAAUUUCCUUCUCCUUCAUCAACCACGACUACAAAUAUGGCCUUUGAGUUAUAGUGUGGUAACAACAAACCUCCCUAACAUAAAAAAAUCAAAUCAUUAGUAAUAGUAUUGUUGUCUAAGACACAACACCAGUGAAUAAGUUCAAGGAAUUGUGUGUAUUGUUAUUUGGGGUUGGAUGUAAAUAAUGUACCUCGUUAAUUUCUAUGAAGGUGAGAGAGAUAUCCAAAUCCUGAGCUUGAGGGUUUCUGUCUGGGGUGAUCUCGUAGAAGUUGCCAAACUUGUUUGAAUAAAUGGGUUCAUCGCUUCUCAAGUUGAAGGGGCCAGAUUCAGAUGGUUUGCCUUUUCCUGAUGAUGAUUGAGCAUGUUUUCUCAAUUCUUGGAUCUGUUCCUUUGACACUCUCACUAUCACCCCCUCAUCUUGGUGGCUCUGCUCUUGUCCACGACUUUGCUCCUCAUCUUCCUGCCCGUCCUCAUUUCCUAAAAUAAUCCUUUGUAUCUCUUCAUAACGGGUCUAUAUUUGAAAUCCAAACAAACAAAUAUGUGAUCAUUAGUACAUAUACUCAAUAAAUAAUUGUGCAACCAACGCAGAUCAGAUGUCAUACAUUGAAGGUGGCCUCUAAAGUGUUCCUACUGAAGCCGUUGAAGUAAGACUGUUGGUCUUUAGUACUUGAUGGAUAGAAAUCCUAUAAAUAUACAAAUAUAGAGAGAAAGGAGGAAGAAAUUAAAAUUACAUGGUGUUAAAUAUGCAAUGGGUGCAUAGAAAAUUAGAUGAUAUAAACAUAAAAGAUAAUAUGAUUGGAGAAAGAACAUUACAUAGAAGUUGCCAGGGUUGUUGAUGGGUAUUGCGAGCUUGACUACUCUAAGGUUCUGGUUGUCAUCCGGGUUAAGGAUAUAAGAAGUUGUUCCAGCUGGGAGUCUGAGAGCAUCUCCAUGCUCAAGGUUAUAUGCUUGUCUUUUAUCAGGGUUGACUAUCGUGAUUGUGGCUCUACCUGCAAUUCCAAAAUAAUGAAUGUAACAAAUCAUUCAUUCUCAUUAAUUAAUUGGCAGAAAUGAUUACUACUAGUAGUAAGUAAGGUUUUAAAUUUAGGUUAGCGACCUCAAUUUAAAUCCUUGAUAAUAGUUACCAUUGAGUACAACGAGGAUGUAGUCAGCAUCAGAGUGUUUAGGGAGAAUGAGAGUGUUAGGUUUUGAUUGGAACUCCACAAUGCGGUAGUUUUGGAGAUUCUCAAGUCUAUUGGUUCUCUGGUCAAACCUCUCAAGCACACGGAUUUGGCCAUUCCUAUUUCUGUAAAGAGUUUGGAAUCUUUCAGAGCUGAAGUAAUAAGGGUUCCUCUGUCUGCGUGAGUCUGAGCGAGAACCUUGCUCUUGCUCUUGUUCUCUCUCUUCCCUCUGUUCCCUCCUCUCAUAACCACUUUGCCUACGUGAGCUAGAGCUAGAGCCUUGCUCUUGCUCUCUCUCUUCCCUUCUACUUUGAGGUCGUUGUCUCCUCGGUUGCCACUCUUCUUCCUCCUCUCUCCUUCCAUGUUGAGGUUGUUGUUCUUGCUCCCUCCCUCUACUAGGUUCUCUCCUUUGUUCACGCUCUUCCUCUCGGCUUUCUUCGCUCUCGCUCCUACCACGUGAUGGCUCACGAUUACGCUCCUCCUCUCUCCCAUGCUCUCUUUCUUGCUCCUCCUGAUGGCGAGGGCGUGGUUGUUGUCUUGGGUCACGCUCCUCUUGUUCUCUUUCCUGAGGCCUCUCAUGAUUCUUUAUUGCAUUUUUUUCUCCGUAAGCAAUACCGAUUGACACUGCCAUGAGGAAUACUAUUCCUAGUAGCAACACUAACGUUGGAAACUUCACUCUCAUAUUAGCCAUAUUUUAUUAUAUUAGAUUGCACUCGAUGAUGNNNNNNNNNNNNNNNNNNNNNNNNNNNNNNNNNNNNNNNNNNNNNNNNNNNNNNNNNNNNNNNNNNNNNNNNNNNNNNNNNNNNNNNNNNNNNNNNNNNNUAUAUAAUUAAAAAUAAAUUGUUGCAUAAAUAACGUACAAUACUAGUGUACGAAUAAUGAUAUUUGUUGAGCUGUUAAGGUUAUACCAAUACCUUACAUAUAAGAUUCAGUUAUAUAUGAUUGUCAAUCACGUGGUUACUAGGUGUGAAUUAAAGAUCCGAUUAAACAAGAUUUGGUCAUAUAUGAUCAUUGAUUACUAGAAUUUCUAACUUAACUGUGUGAAAGAACGAUAUUGGAAGAACUAUUUCUAAAUAUUUGUAUGAUACAAAUUAGAUAAAAUAGCAAAUAAUCUAUAUAAUGAAUGAUACACAUACUUCAGUGGGACAAAGGGGGGAGUAAACUUUACACUAACAACUCAAGGGUACAGAGAAUUUUAAUUUAGUGAUCAAGUAUUAAAUUAUAGCUGUGAUGAUAAGUUAUAUAUACUAAUUUUUUUAUAUAUUUACUUCCAACUUAUUGAAACUUGAGAAGUAUGCUUACAUUUAGAGAUGUAUAGUUAUUAGUCAUAAGUGUCAUCAAAUCGGUCAGAGUAAUAGUAUAGUGGUAUAGUGGUUCAACCGAUGGUUCAUUAAUUAAUUUUAUGUCGGUUAAAUCCGACAUACAUGCUUAUCUAUACAAUCUUUAAUAAAAAAAUUAACUAGGUAAAUACUCAAAUUUAAAAUUCAUGUUCUUAGUCUACUAAGAAUACCCAUAGAUAAACAAUUUUAACAAACAAAGUCUGGCCCAUCUUCCAUUGAUGCAAAUCAACUAAUUGAACAAAUAAAAGAACUAAGUAAGGAAGACGCACUUUACAAUAACAAUUAAAAAUCCUAACAUGUAAGGUAAGAAGAAAGAGAGAGAUGAUUUAAGGCGGGAGAUGAUAUAAACACACACCUUAAUGGGCAAUGACUUCAACUCUACAAAGAAUUGGAUGGAACGAAGAUGAUAGGUCGGUGGAAGGGACUGGACAAAGAUGAUACCUCGGGGAAGCCUGGAACUAUAAAAGAAAUGAAGAAGGGUUGAAGAAGUGUGAACAGUGGAAGGAGAAAAAUCGAAUAAGGGUAGAAGAAUUGUGAACCGUGUAGCCUAGAACUUUUUUGAAAACCCUACUUCCCUAAAACGACGCCAUUUAUGGUUAUUUUUUAAGAAUAAAAUACAUGUAUAAACCGGCUAAUUUAGUCAAAUUUCGCCUGGUUCACCAGUUUUGACCAAAUUCGGUCGGUUUUCACUGGUUUUGAUACUUGGUUAGUAUCAUAACCAUACUGUAUCGGUUAGGGGUUCGGUUCACCGGUUCUUCGAUUGACAUGGACGGUACGGUUUUUACGUUAUGGUUUGUUAAUGAGAUGGGGAAUAAGUAUUUUAACAAUCAAAAAUCAAAAUUAUAAAAGGUAAAUAAUUAAGUUUAUUUCCUAAUAUUUGGUGUAUCUUUCAAUAAUUAUAUUAAAUUCGUUUUCGUACUAACUUAAGUGAAGAAAAAAAUUAAGUAAGAGAAAACUGGUGAUUAUUUAUAAAUGUUAGGGUUGCAAUUUGUUCACCAAGUAAUAAUCAUUAAAGAUAUAAUGUUGUAUUUGUGGAUGAUGGUUGUUAAAGUCUAGGUUAUUUUAUAGAAAUUUUUUAUUGCCUAAACGUUGGGGUGUAAUCAUUUUUAGGCUGAAAUAGACAAAUGGAAUGUCAUAUUACUAUAUGAGAUGCUCAAGUUUUAUUUUCCAUGUUUUUUUUAAAAUUAUCAUAUGAAAGAUUAUAAAAAAUAUUGAUAUAUUUUUGUACGUUUUAUAUUGACAAUGCUUUUUUAUUUGGGUUAUUCUAGAUAGAAGGUGUUUGUCUAAUAUUGUAAAGCCUCAUUAGAUCCUCAAGAUGACUAAAACGUCAAUGGUUCGAUUUAUGUAAGCGACAUUUGUUGGCAGGGGCAGUCAUACACCCCAAAAGAGAUUAGUUUCUUACCCAAGGGUGAAGGGAUACCGUUUUUUGUACCCAAAAAAAUAAACAUUGUCUUGUGGACAUCUUACUCUUAUUUAUAAAUGUAUAAUAUAUAAUUACAUUUUCAGUUCUUCCAUAUCAUAAAUAUUUCAUAAAACAAUUCAUAUCAACAUAAUUAUUUCUUAAAUUCUUUUGCUUAAUAUUUUUUACCAUUGUGAUCUAGUGUUAAUCUUUUAUAAUUUUUCAAAUUUAUUUAAUAAAUGCAUAGACACAUUUUCUUAAUAUAUAUGAUAGUGAAUUAAAAAAUCAAAUAAAAUUAAAUAAAACCUUUAGAUGAUAAUAUGAGAUAUUAACUAUGAUACUUCUACACAAGAAACUGAAAAAAGCUCAAGGGCUUAUGAUCUGAGUUAUUGUCUUGGAUUCAUUUUGAGAAUUAAAAUAAUUUAGUUGAGAAUUGUGUGAAACUCUUAUUUUUUAAGUGAGAAGUAAAUGCAAUAUCAAUGAAGGAGUGCAAUAAAAUAAAAGAGAAGAAGAUAAAAUAAUUUAUUAAUAGGGUUCUGAUCAAUUUUGUAUACGUGCCUAGAAGCGUACAGUAGUUAUCAAUAUGUAUUUUUAGAGAAUAAGAAUUAUAAGUUCUAACAAAUUCAUGGGUAUAAAACUCAUAUGGUGUUUCUAAUUUGUGCAAGUUAUAAUAAGUAUCUUGAGCCUAAUAUUUAACAUUGUUUUUCUCAUUCUUCCAAUACUAGGCAAUGUUUUACUUAUUAUAAUAAUAUAUUUCAAGCAAUCUUCACCUUAGUGAAUAUUUUAUUCCUUAAUAAAUAUACGCAACAAUCACCACCUUAGUGAAUAUCCAACUCCAUAUUACGCAAUGACUAACUCUUUUUAUGAGCUCCUCCAUUGGACUUCUUCCACAUGUGAGAAUGCUCAUCUUCAACAUAAGUCGAGUAUCCUUUAUGAUAUUACCAAGAUUUAAGUUGUCCCAACUCAAAUUUUGAUGGAGAACCAAUUUCACGACUUCGGAGUAUGGGGAAAUAGAUUCCUUUUCUACAAAAUGAUUUGGAGUUGUCACUACAUUUUUUUUAUCAGAAUAUAAAUUUUUUCUUUAUACCCAAAUAGAAAACAAAUAUGAUUAUUGAACUAAAGUUCAAAGCUUGGGAGUCAAUUACAGGUCGGGAAAGGUAUUCACACCUCAUCUGAUCGUAUUAAAACAAUACCCACGCUAACUAGAUGGAUCCUUAUGCCCUCGAUUUAUUUUUUAAAAUAUUAAUUACUAAAGAAAAGUAGUAUUUUUUUUUUACCUACGAAGAGCUUAUUUGCUUUAAUGCAUCCUCAUGUUGUAAUAUGAAAAUCAAGACAACAUAGUUCAUGGCUGAAAAUUGAUCAAUGGAUUUGUAUAAAUUUUAUUAAAGAACUAAUAUAAAAUUAAAGGAGGUCAAUAGCAUAAGAGAUUGUAUUAGUUGUGAACCGACAUCUCAAUUUGAGAGGUAACAUAGAUAGUAUUGAUAACCGCAAUUGUUUCUCUACAUAUAUAAGAAAUUAAGAUACCACAUGAAUAUCAAACUCAUUAUUAGAUUCCAAAAACGGUUUAUCGAUUUUCAUAUAAAAAACUCACAACCACACAAAUUUCUUAUCAUAACAAUGGUGAUUUUAAGUUGUUUUACUAUAUACUAUAUAUUUCCAUUAACAAUAUACAAAUCCUCAUUCCAUUUUCCAUUAUAUAAUUAACAUAACUAAGUUAAUUAACAUGGUCAAGUUCCUUAUGCAUACUCAAGUCCUUGCAGCUUUCUUCGCUGUCAUUCUACUUCUAGCACAUAUUGAGAUGUGUCCUAUAUUAAGUAUUAAUAUAGAAGCAUAAAUCAAACCCAAAACCAUGAAUAGUUGGUUAUCUCAGAAUAAUUGUUUAACAUCAGCAUCAAGGUAUGACACACCGACAUGGUGGUUGUCUUUUAAAUAGGAAAAGUCUCUUGUCUCCGUCUAACAUCAGCAUCAAGCAUGCUACCAAAUUCCAAUAUAGGGAUUUAUAUUUUGAAGAAUAAUUAUUAUCAUUGAUAUAUUAUACCUUAUUUUUUAUUAUAUUUUUUAAUGUCUAGGUAAAAUGAUCGAAGUGGUUGAGAACCUGGAUACUAUCAUUCAUGAAGUAGUAAUCACUGAUGAUGAGGACUAUGUGGAGGAAAUAGAUGAGAGUGAAAGUGAGAGUGAGGAAGUGAAUGAAAGUGAAGGUUUGGAUAGUGUAAAUGACAACGAUGGAUUUAAUAACUAUGAUGAAAAACUAGAUUUUUGUGUGGGGGUUCAUUCAGAUGAUGAUUUAGUUGAAAUUUAUGUUGAGAGAAAGGUGGUUGGAGAACAAUUUAAACUCCAAUCUAAUGGUAAGGUGAAACUUCAAAUCAAUAUGUUACUAUUGUUAGAGAAACUUCAAACCAAUAUGUUCAUAAACGACUUACCGGCUUGAGAUACUAUUGUUAGAGAAACAAAUCCUGGGAGUAAAGUGACGAUGGAGUUUGCAAGGGUCACAAUUGAUAGGAACCCACAAUUUAAACGAUUAUUUGUAUGUCUUGGUGCAAGGAAAAAAAGAUUUGUUAGAGGUUGUAAGCCUUGGUUUAGAAUUGAUGGAUGCCAUUUAAAAGGUCCUUAUGGAGGAAUUUUACUUGUUACAGUUGCCCUUGAUGGAAAUAAGGGUAUAUUUUUUAUUGCAAUUGUUGUGGUAGAGGUGGAGUGUAAGGAUUCAUGGAGGUUUUUUCUAACCUUAUUAACUGAAACUUUGCACACUCUACCAAAAUGGAAGGAGGAUAAACUAACCAUUAUGUCAUAUACACAAAAGGUUAGUGUGUUUAAAUUAUAUAUCUCCCUAUAGUGAAUAGAUAAUGUCUCUCUAAUUAUUGCUAUUCUACUUAAUUUUUGUAUAAAAAGAACAUGUUGUGAGAAAUGAAGUAAUUCAGGAUAGGAUGUUAUAUGUUUUUUUUUAUAUUUUGGUUUAAGUUAGAGAUAUUAAAUGAUUCUUUAUUUGAAUUCCAGUGCUUAAAAGAUGCAGUUAGUGAGAUAUUUCCAAAUGCAGAACAUAGGUAAAUGAUUAAUUAUAAUCUUGUAUUGUUAAUAUUUUAAAAUACUUUAUUAAUCACUACUUGUUUUUGUUAAUAGGUUUUGUUGCAACCACUUGUUGAAUAACUUCAAGCUUCGAUUCAGGUCUUUAAUACUAACAACAGAGUUUUGGGCGGUUGCAAUGGCUUAAAAUGAAACCAUGUUUAAUAAAGCUAUUACUACUAUGAGAAAAAUCAACAAUGAUGAUGUAGAAUGGUUGCUAGAUUCUGAUAGGCCUAAAAUUAUGUGGGCAAGGCAUACAAUUGAUCCAAUCUGUAAAAGUGAUCAUGUGACCAACAUUGUGUGUGAAGUGUUUAAUGCAUGGAUUGUAGAUGAUAGAAAAAAGACUAUGUUGUCUAUGAUGGAGUCUAUUGUGUGUAGAUUAAUGGGAACAUUUGAAAGAAGGUUUGCAAAGAGUUGUGGUUUUGAGCACAACAUAACUCCUAACAUUCGGAAGGUUUUAAACACUAACAUGCAAGAUGGGAGGUUCUGUACAAUGACUUAGUUUACUUAGUUUGCCAUGUUUUACUUCUAUGUAUCUACUUAGUGUUUACCAUGGAGUGCUGGUUAUAUAGUUAUGGAACAUUUAAUUUCUAUAUGUGUAUGUUAAUUUUACAUGCUUAGUUAGUGUAUAUAAUGAUGCGGUAAUUAUUAAUAUUUUUUUAUUGUUCGUUUUUAUUUUAUUAUUUCAAGCAAAUGAUGAUGCAAGUAUAUCUGAUAUACCUUUGAGUGCAAGAGAAUCAUAUGGUGCCAACAACAUUUAGGAUAUUUUUUAUGUAUUUUGUUUUUAAAAUUUCAUAUGAGACUACUUUUAGUUUUUUUUUCUCCAGAUUUUAUGGUGUAUUUGGAUUUAUAAUGAAACAUGAACCGUAACUCUUUCAACUUUGUUAUGUUAUUUUAGUUAUUUGCAAUGAAAUUUUAUUAUUGCUAACAACAUUUGGAUUUAGUAUUGUAAGUUUAAAUAAUUAUUAUAAAUUAAUGAGAUUAAAGUUAUAAAAAUUAUGAAAUGAAAUUGAGGUUAAAAUCCUCUAGAAACAUAUAAUAGUUACCUUCCUGCAGGUUUCCAUAUAUAAUUUCGAGUAGUGAAGAUUGAAAAUCUCCACAAUUAAACGAUCUUAAAUAAUGAAGGUUUAAAGCCUUCAUGCUAAACACUACAAAAAUCACCUCAAAUAGUGGAGGUUAAAAAACUCCUCAAAUCGUGGAUGUUAAACUAAUGAAUGAUGAUUCAUUCCUAAAUAAAUACAUUUAAUACAAAUAUUGAUAAUAAAUGAAUAAAUAUAUUGAAAGAAUAAACUAAUAAAUACGAUGUUACUAUUAAAGACAUAUUACUAAUAUGUUAUUAUCUAGAAAACUAAUUAAUAUAUAUUACACAUAAUUUUCAUUAAUUUCUUAAAUAUAGGUAAUGGAUAGAAUAUAAAAAUAGUCAUAAUAAAUACUAAAUAGAUUUUGAUGAAAAAGAAAGGUUUGAGUUAGGUUUAUUUUAUAAAAUAAAUUAUGAAAAAAAUUUUUUUAGGAGGUUGAAUAAGUUAAAUGAUAGAAAGGUUUUUUAAUUAAAAAAAAUAAAUAAGAUACUACAUUGGUUGUUAAUUGAUGUUGCAAUGCAACUUUCAGUCAAUCAUCGGUUAUAUGACAGGUUUGGAUCCACCACUAUAUUUUUGCGGUCAAAAUAAAGAAAACAUUCUUUAAACCCACCUUUAAGGAAUAUGUUGUCUCACAUGAUAGGAUUUUGCUCCUACGUCUCCCUCUCAACAAUAGAGAAUCAAGACUACCUAGUUCUUUAGUAGAAAAUACUUUGUUGGUUGAUUUUAUAUUAUUUCUGAAUAGGAGAAGAUGUUUUAAUUUUAAUAUGGUGUCCAUACUUAAAUGACUAAAUUACAACCAUAAUGUAUGAUAUCGCAUUUCAUAUUAAGGAGGUAAAGCUUAACCAAAAUCAAUAUUUUUUAAUGUUUAAAGGUUUUUUAGAAAGGUGAUACACAAAGGAAGAGAUUAGCUGCAAAAAAAUUAAACGAUCCCAUUAGGAUUCUCUAGAACUUUUAUGUUACUCUCUCUUUUUUGGAAUAUUUUGAUGUGUUUUCCGGUUUUUUCACUUUGUCAUGAAUGCAAUACCUCUAUUUAUUGGAUGGAUUUCACAUAUGCAUAAAAUAAAAGUGAAUCACUUUCAUUAAUGCAUCGAAUCAAUUAAAACAUUUUAUUGGGUGUAAGAUUGUUUCUGAGAUAUCUAGAAAUAUCUCUUAAUAACUUUAUAAAGUCAUAGAAUAUUAUGGUGACACUCAUAUUAAUUCGGCUUUAAAAUUAAAAGUGUCCCAAAUGCUCUAUUUUGGGUAGAAAUUUCAUAACAAGUUCAAAAGGAAAUCACAAAUGUUCUUUUAUAAAAUGGGAUCUUUCCAUUAAUAGAUUAAUAAAUUCAUUAAGUCACUUAAAACCCUUUUUGAUUUUAUUUUAUAAAUAAAAUUAAAAUUGGUGAGAGAAAUUAAUUUGAAAUAAUAUCCUUGUGAAAAAAACUAAAAAUUGUAUCCAAAAAAUCUUGAAAUAGUAUCCCACCAUUAUUGAGUCAAAUAAGUGAUCUUUAAAUACCAUUUUUUAUUGUAAAGGAAAUCAAAAUGUUGGGAGGGAAGUUGACUUAGAUGUUGUAUCUAGUCAAUUUAUUCACAUUAAGUCAUUCAAACCCGUUUUUUAUAUGAGUGUAAAAUAUGAAUUUAUCCUCUUUACUUGUUGCUUACCAUAAAAGCGGGCAAAUUGAAGUUUGAAAGAUAUCAUGUCAGGUAACUAGUAAGGAAAUGAACACUAAUUUUGUCAAGGUUAAAAGAACUUACAUAUUCAAACUUCAGAUGCCUCGUAGUGAGGUUGAAACUAGUCAACGAUGCAGACUGAAAUACAGUAACCGUUAGUUUUAUGUAGUAGUUCGGGAAGCUUCUGGAAUAGAAAUCAUCAAUUUGGUGCGGCAGUUCUAGACUCUGCUGAAAGGGAAACCAUCAAUUUGGUGACAUAGUCUGAGAAUCUUCUGAAAAAUGAAACAAUCGAUUUGGUGAAGGAGUUUGAGAUUAUGUUGAAAGGGAAACCACCGAUUUGAUGAAGUAGUUUGAGAAUCUACUUAAAGGGAAACCAUCGAUUUGGUGAAGCAAUUAGAGAAUCUUCUAAAAGGGAAACCAUUGACUUGGUGAAGUUCAUCGAGAAUCUGCAGAAAUGGAAACCAUCAGUUUGGUUAAGUAGUACGAGAAUCUGCUAAAAGGGAAACAAUCGAUUUUGUGAAGCAUUUUGAGAAUAUUCUGAAAGGGUAACCAUGUAUUUGGUGAAGUAGUUUGAGAAUCUGUUGAAAAUGAACCAUCAAUUUGGUGAAGCAUUUUGAGAAUCUGUUGAAAUUAUAACUAUUGAUUUGGAGAAGCAGAUCGAUAAUCUAUUGAAAGGGAAACCAUCGAUCUAGUGAAGCAUAUCAAGAAUAUGCUAAAAGGGAAAGCAUUGAUUUUGUGAAGCAGAUCGAGAAUCUGGUGAAAGGGAAUCAUCAAUUUAGUGAACUGGUUCGAGAAUCUAGGAUAGAGAAACUAUCGAUUUGCUGAAAAAAAUUGAGAAUAUGGUGAAAGGGAAACCAACAGUUUGAUGAAGUAGUUUGAGAAUCUGCUGAAAAGGAAAUCGCUGAUUCGAAGAGUCAGAUCAGGAAUCUAUUGAAAUAAGGCUUACGGGCAUCUCAACAUCAGAGUGUGAACAUGAUGAUAAACGUACUUGAGAAAGGGAUGGCCCCACAUUGUCUAGGCCAAUUAUAUAUGUAGUUGGGAUGUGAAGAUGCAUGUAUUGAUGUUUGAUUAUUUGUGGAUAUGAAAUGACUUGAAUAUAAAUUUUCUGCUAUAUUUUGUAUGAGAUGAGUAUACAAUAAAGGGAAAGACUCGUACACAAAUAUUCUAAUGUAUCACUCUUGAUUUAUUUUUUCUUGGGAUGGAAUUCAUAAACCUUUGUGGAUUUGACUAAAGCAUCAAUUUAUGAUUGUUUUUAUUAGCAUGAUUGAAUGACAACUUGUCUUUCAUAAAAUUGCUUUAGUUUGCUUGAUGACACAUUUCCAUUAAGGUAAUUCAUACAAUGUGCCCUAGUGCCAUCUUGAAUGACUAAACUCAUAUAUAUUGCUCUAGCGUAGGUUGGCUGAGAGUUUCUUUCAAAUGUGUUUGAAUAAAAAAUUUAUCAUUGUGCCUAUUCUGAACUUUUGACUUCAACUUGGAGGCCAUUAUUCAGAUUCUCCAUAAAGAUGCCCCAUUUUGGGAAAUUAAGGAUAAGGGGUAGUAAGCCUUCACAUUGAGGUGCACAUUUAAUUUUCCUUAACUUUUAUCAAGAAUACCUAGUGUAUGAGCUUGUCGAGAAUUUUCUCAUUUAUUAUCAUCCUCAACCACCUUUUCAUUUUUUGACUUAUAAUCACUCUCCUUUUCCUAGGUUGCUCAUGUGGGUUGUCAACCUAGCACACUUUUUUUGUUUUUUGUUCUUUGAUUUUUACUUUUUACUUUAUUUAACACCGUCGACUUGGUGGCCUCAUUUGAUAGUAAGUAGAAGUCUUGUGUGGGUCAUUGUUGGAGUUGUUCUUCACAGUCAUAACAUAGUAUCAUUCACUUCUUGGUUGAUAGAUUAUCCAUUUUCUAUUAUUGGCAUGACUUAUAAGGCCAUGGGAAGCAACUCCGUACUGCCUCGUUUUUUGGCUUCUUGUAACUUUUCACUAGAAAAAUGGGAACACCCCAAAAAUAUGGCCCAACAUGGAUACAAGGAUUUAUCCUUCUAUUCAAAUUGUCCUGAAAUGAAAAAUUUGGAAGGACUUAGACAAUGAAUCAUCUCAAAAUAUGCCCUAGUUUGAAAGGUUUCCAUGUUUCUUUUACUUUAGAAGUCUUUAUUGUAUGCACAACUCUUUAAGAAUAAAUAUUAAAACAAUGAUCAUGCAAACUUGACAAGUGUUUGGAUUAUGCGUGGUGAUACGAUAAUGAUUAUAAAAUUUAAUUUUUGUUUAAGCUUUCUUAUAUGUAUUGUUCAAUUUGUAUGUGGUUGCGAGUUUUGAUAUGUUUAUGAUGAAUAUAAAACGGAACUUGUGUUUGGGCUUUGAAUUUUGUUGAUGAUGGUGAUGGUGAUGAUGAGAGAAUGGAAUGUUAAUCAUAUGCAUUAAGAUGAGAUUGUUAGAAAUUCAUAAUUUCUAAUUAAGGUGAACAUCAUAUAAUUAAUACAAUUAUAUUGGCUAUUUAUUUUGGUAUUCCAAAACAAGUGAUCUAAUUACUCACAACCUAUAAGACUUCUAAAACUGAUAAUGUAUAUGGCUUAAUGAGUGGAUACUGAAACGGUUGGCCUAUAUGUGAUAAUGUGAACCCUAUAAGUUAACGUAUAAGGAACGAUUAUGAUCUCCAAUGCACCAAAUCACAAAUAGUUUUCACCUCUCCCCAUCAGAGAGAAAAUGAAGGUCCCAAAAAAAAUUAAUGAUUUGGUUGAGGAAGCCCAUCAUACCAAAACUCUAUGAAAAUGUAUAUCAAAAAAGUAGAUUAGAGAACAUGGAUUUGGGUAUGACUUUGUAUCAUAGUUCUAUAUUAUGUGUGAGAAUCAUGAGAUUCAAGGUCCUAGGAUUGGUAUUUCACCAAUCAUUAGGAAAUAUAUGACAAGUGGUAUCAGAUCUUUAGGUUCUGAAUUUGUUAAUCAUAAAAGAUAUUAAAUCCGAAGGUUUUAAUUCCAAGAUCAUAAUUUAUUUUAUAAUGGACCUAUAUUGUUUUCCUUUUCUGUGGUAAUUAUUUUUGAAAUAAUUGGUGCAAUUGUUGUCAAAGUAACCUUUAUGGUGGAAAUUGAUAAAUAAUACAUAGAUGAGUAUGAGAUUAUUUAUGAGAAUUGUGUUUUGUCAAGUAAUAACAUACAUGUGAUGAUAAAUAAGUAACAAUUAUAAAGUUUUUUUCUUGUGAAUAAUAGUCGGUCCAAAGAAAGACUAUUGUUUGACAAAACUAAUUGUUAAUAUUUGAUCAUUACGUUUAGAGUACAACUUACAUAUUAUUUUCUCUGUCCAAAGACUAGAAAUUGAUGUUGUGCUAGGUAUCUUGUGAUGAGUCUAUUAUGUGAACAUGUCUUGUUUUAUAUGUAUUACCUGAUUUGUUUCUUUAAAUGGUUGCAACACUUACGGUUUGUUGUAUUAGUUGGUAGUUGAUUGCAUUAUUAAGGGGUUGCUAUUGUUGAAACACUAUUUCCAUUUGAACAUUGUGUCGUACUAUGUUUAGUCAUGUAUAAAAUGGUAAUAUAUUUUUAAUGGAAAAUUAAAAAGAACCAUCACUGGAAUUUGAAACGCAGAUCUUGGUGAUGGAAAUUAUGCAAUGCUACCAAUAGGCUAUAGUGUAUAUAUUAUAUAUAUGUGGAUAUAAAUAAUUCAUAUUUUGGAUUAAGUGAUGAAUCAAACUCAACUAAAUGGUUUUAAUGAAAUUGUUUGACAUUUUAAGUGAACAUAUUAAAUAAGAAUUCGCCAAAGUGACAUAUUUUCUAUGAAUUGUUCAUAAAUGUCAAAUACUAGUGUGAAUAAGUAUCUAUGCGAGUAUUAAUUGGCUCAAAUGAAGAUUAUUAUUUGGUCGAAUUAUAUACAUACAUAUGAUGGUAAACAUGUGACUAUUUUAAGGUUGAAAAUGGGACUGAUAAAUUAGUCUAGAGAAAGAUUUAUUAUUUUACAUGCAUUAUGAAUAAUGUUUGACCCUUACAAAAAUAUAUCAUUAGUGAUUGAUAUGAAAUAUCAAGCCAAAUGUAUGUUUGCAUUUUAUGUGAAUAGUGAUCGGCCCUAAGGAAUAUUAUUAUUUGGCCCAAAUUACAAACAUACUUGUAGUAUUAAUAUGUGAUAAUUAUAUGCCUUUGCAUGUGAAUAGUAAGUCAAUCCAAAGAAUAGCUUAUUGUUUGAUAUGACUGAUUAACAAUGUUUGAUUACUAUAUUGAGUGUACCACUUAUAAGUUAAUAUUUUUAUCCAAAGACUAAAUAUUAAUGUUGUGUUAGGUAACUCAUGAUGUGCCCCACCAUCAUUUGAAUUUAGGUUUUAAAGUUGAAUGUGAGUUUAAUUGCAAGAAUGGUUGCAAGAAUGAUUGCAAUUUGUUUUGUUCUUUUACUAGUGCUACAAAUAGUUUUGUUCAAAUUGAGAAUAUCUCAUUGUUGAACGGGACACACAUUAAGGUCUAUAAGAAAGCCGUGGAAAUUAUUCUCGGCUAUAUGGAUUUAGAUCUGGUACUUCAAGUGGAGAAAUCCAUUUCGACUCUGUAAAUCCUCGAUGAGGUUAAAAUUGAGAAAUUUGGAUGCUCUUAUUGUAUGUGUCUAAUGAUCAUGAAACACUAUAUUCUAGAAGUGUUUCAUAAUUCUAUUUUUGAGGGUCAGAGUGCAAGGAAGUUCCUUCAAGAAAUAGAACCAUACUUUUGCAAAAAUGAGAAGGCGGAGACUAGUAGCUUUUUUGGGUGAAAUCAUCUCCAUGAAGUAUAAAAGCAUAUGGAACAUAAGGAAGUACAUUAUGGAGAUGCCUAAUCUUGCAUCAAAACUCAAGUCACUUAAGUUAGAGCUGGUUGAUGACUUGCUCGUGCACUUGGUUUUGAUCUCGCUUCCUGCACACUUUGGGAUAUUCAAAGUGAGCUAUAACACUCAAAAGGACAAAUGGUGUCUCAAUGAGUUUAUAUAUCAUUGUGUCCAAGAGAAAGAGAGGUUCUAGAGAGAUAAGACUGAAAGUGCUCAAUUGGCUAUGACCACUCAGAAUAAGACAAGAAUGAACAAUACGGAUGUUGUGAAAGGGUUAUUUGUGUUUUUCGUCAGAGAUUGUGGAUUUGUUCCGCAAUACACUAUGCCAGACAAACCUAAAAUAAAAGGUGUUGUUGGCCGACGAAAAGAAACUCUUAAGGAUAUGGUGAGAAUUAUGCUUAGUCAUUCUUCCUCACUAGAGUCUCUUUGGAGGGAAAAAACCGUUAAUAAGACCAAGCUUAAAACAUUGCACAUUUGGGGUUGUUCAGUUGAGGAAGGCCUUAUAGGCCACAGGAAAGGAAACUCGACUCAAGAACAGUUAGAUGUUAUUUUGUUGGCAAUGUUGAGCGCUCUCGGGGCUAUAAAUUUUACGAUCCUACUUCAAGACAUUUUUUUUUUGGACGGGAAAUGCAAGAUUUCUUGAGGAAGUUGAUUUUGGGAAGGAAGAGAACAUAAGGAAUUUUAUCUUUGAGGAAGAACAUGUCACUAGUAGUGAACAAAUUCUUGUGUCUAUUACCAUUCAAGGAACAACUUCGGUAAUAGAAGAUAAUGUUUAGGAUAUUGUUCCUGACAAUAUUCUAGAACAAGACAACAAUGAGGUUCUCUCUCAAGUACUUAAAGAAAAAAUUCAACAACCUCAAGAAGUAGGGGUGCCAUUAAGCAUAUCCACUAGAGAGAGAGGAUGUGCAAUUCCUGAUGAUUAUAUUGUAUUUCUUCAAGAAUAUGAGGAUGACAUCAGGAUAACAUAAGAUGAUUCAUUGAAAAAAUGUCAAGACAUGAAAAGUUCUAACUCUCAAAAGUGGAUCAAUGUCAUGAAGAAUGAGAUGAAGUCUAUGCAUGAUAAUAACGUUUGGGAUAUUGUCGAAUUAACUGAAGUUGCGAAACCUAUUGAUAGGACAAAUUGCAAGUGGACGGUUAUAUCGUCAAGUAAUAAAAUAUCGAUCCCACGAGGACUAGAAAAUACUUUAAUUAUAACAAUUAAUUUAUAUGUAACUCAAAGCAAAAUUAUAAGUGAAUUUAGAAAAAUUGAACAUUUGACAAGAAUAAUUAUGAAAAUAUUAAAAAGGAUUGAAAUCUAAUUUAGGAAGAGUUCCAAGGAUAAGGGUUUACCCCUUUACACUCNNNNNNNNNNNNNNNNNNNNNNNNNNNNNNNNNNNNNNNNNNNNNNNNNNNNNNNNNNNNNNNNNNNNNNNNNNNNNNNNNNNNNNNNNNNNNNNNNNNNUAAAUUACAUAACAACAUAUAGAUUGAUGAAGGGCAUUGCAUGUAAAACUUUCAAGGUAGAUUUUUUUAUUAAUAAUAGUACAUAGGUAAAACUCUAGUUUUAUUAAUAUAUCGUGGCUCACUAUGAGCUCUUACAUGAUAGUAGAUAGCAGCUUAGUAAAGAGUGAUCUAAAUGGAAAAGAUAAGACCCCUUCUUCCACGCCUUCCCUCCUUCUCCCUUUGCUGUUGCUGCUGAGGUUGAGCAUUUGCAAAGUAAGAUUGUUGUUGGUUCUUAAUUAAUCUCUCAACAUCUUCAACAGAACCAGGGAAUGUAAGCUGCUUCACUUCUUUAUCUAAC